CGUCGAAGACGACGACGUUGAUAGGAUGCAGGUGUAAAGACGGUGACGUCAAAGCCGAGCAUUACUAAUUGCCCGAAACUUUUU
rnacentral:rRNA from 1 species